GAUGAACGCUGGCGGCGUGCCUAAUACAUGCAAGUCGAGCGAACAGAUGAGGAGCUUGCUCCUCUGACGUUAGCGGCGGACGGGUGAGUAACACGUGGAUAACCUACCUAUAAGACUGGGAUAACUUCGGGAAACCGGAGCUAAUACCGGAUAAUAUAUUGAACCGCAUGGUUCAAUAGUGAAAGACGGUUUUGCUGUCACUUAUAGAUGGAUCCGCGCCGCAUUAGCUAGUUGGUAAGGUAACGGCUUACCAAGGCAACGAUGCGUAGCCGACCUGAGAGGGUGAUCGGCCACACUGGAACUGAGACACGGUCCAGACUCCUAUGGGAGGCAGCAGUAGGGAAUCUUCCGCAAUGGGCGAAAGCCUGACGGAGCAACGCCGCGUGAGUGAUGAAGGUCUUUGGAUCGUAAAACUCUGUUAUUAGGGAAGAACAAAUGUGUAAGUAACUAUGCACGUCUUGACGGUACCUAAUCAGAAAGCCACGGCUAACUACGUG
rnacentral:rRNA from 1 species